UCUUUUCCCAGAGCUGGUCUAAUUUGAAGAUAACUGAUUAUAUUACAUAUCUAACGAAUAUUUCUGCUUUGAGAAAUCUGUAGACUCAAACAUUAUUAUUGCGUAAUUUUUUGCAUACUCGAAGUUUUGUGGUGCAACCCUUUUCGUUACUGAUUUCAUGUAGUAUAAUGUUUCAUACAUUCUUAUAUUUUUGGAUAGGGUACUUGUCAUGUGCCCGCUGUUCAGCAACCGGUUUGCGUGUGUCUGUUGAACCCAUUUUGACAAGCGCUACGGAUCGCGAGUUGAACGUACCAACUACUUGCAGGUGUCAAAAUUGCUCUGGGUCUGGAAAGGUAAUGUGCCCCACCUGCCUUUGCACUGGGAUGAUAAUGGCUAGCGAGCACGACCCUCGUAUUGACCUAUUCGACUAGAGGGCAGGGCAAGGGCGGUUAGAUUGAUUGGCUCAAUUCUAGUACCUCGACCGGAAGUGUGAUGUUUGCUAUAAUAUGGAGCUAACCCCAUGAUUCAUAUGUCACCAAUGUGAUGUUGUAUCAUCGAAUGCUGUAUGUUUAUGUUUGUUGUUAUCAGACGAGUCAUCUAUGGAGUGAGGACAUGAAUGACAAUUAUAAUUAACAAAUGUAACAAUGUUUGUACCGUGCGAGACGUUCCUCUUGAUUUUUUUGCGAAUGACAUAUAUAGAUGAUUGGCUCUGUUA